AGCGAACGCUGGCGGCAGGCCUAACACAUGCAAGUCGAACGAGGUCUUCGGACUUAGUGGCGGACGGGUGAGUAACACGUGGGAACGUGCCUUUAGAUUCGGAAUAACUCAGGGAAACUUGUGCUAAUACCGAAUGUGCCCUUCGGGGGAAAGAUUUAUCGCCUUUAGAGCGGCCCGCGUCUGAUUAGCUAGUUGGUGAGGUAAAGGCUCACCAAGGCGACGAUCAGUAGCUGGUCUGAGAGGAUGAUCAGCCACAUUGGGACUGAGACACGGCCCAAACUCCUACGGGAGGCAGCAGUGGGGAAUCUUGCGCAAUGGGCGAAAGCCUGACGCAGCCAUGCCGCGUGAAUGAUGAAGGUCUUAGGAUUGUAAAAUUCUUUCACCGGGGACGAUAAUGACGGUACCCGGAGAAGAAGCCCCGGCUAACUUCGUGCCAGCCGCCGCAGUAAGAC
rnacentral:rRNA from 1 species